GAAAGUCUAUGCGGGGGGAGUCUAUGCUGCAACACCGGCGGUUCUAACUGGUUAUCAGAUUAUCUAAAUGCGUAACGUAUAUAACCUUCAUAAAGUUUCAUCCCCUGGUUACCCAAGUCUUGAUCUUCGCGAGAAGUGAGCUGCCAUUCUAACGUUCAUAUUUUUUUUAUUUUUUUUUUUUACAAAUUCUUAAAUUUAAACUUCCAAUCCAUGUUAGAUAUUGUUGCAACCGACCAGAGCAAAUCAGUGACACAAAUCUUUAAAUCUAACAACCACUCAAUACAAAUUGUCUGUUGGAGUUUAUAAUAGUGUUUAACAUGAACAAUACCAAGUCGAUGAUUUUAAGCGAGAGAUACAAGAGAACUCUUUAGAUACCUUAUGGUUAUACUGAAGUCAUCAGCUUCACGCAUUGAUAUACAUACGGGCUUUUUAUUCAUAGUACGAACGUUAGAUUUAAAGUUUAAACCACUGCAUGCAAGUCCCUGUCUGUUUGCUGGUUCAAAAUACACCCACGGUCGCUCUGUUGGGUCUUUUAUCACACAUUGACAAUCCAGGUGGGGUACGAUAUAUCCACUGUUCUGUUUAGUCUUCACACAUUGAAAAUCCAGGUGAAGUACGAUAUAUCCACUGUUCUGUUUAGUCUUCACACAUUGCAAAUUCGGGUGAGGAUAUGAUAAAUCCACUGUUCUGUUUAGUCUUCACACAUUGAAAAUCCAGGUGAGGGUACGAUAUAUCCACUGUUCUGUUUAGUUUUCGCGUUCUGUAGAGCUAUUUCCUCUGAUCUGAUGUUUCCUUUUGUUUACAGUUUUCACAGAUUGAAAUUUGGCGGAGAUUAUAU